GACUCCCCUCCCUUACCUUGCUUUUUAAAAUGCUUUGCUGAAAUCCAGUGGGAAGUGUUGACUUUUUGAGCAUGAGCUAUCCCAGACUCCAGGCUUGGUGCCCUGCAAUAAAUGCUGCAGUUCUGUUCACCACAACUCAGUUCUCCUUUUUCCACCAGUGUCACCACUGUUGGUCCUAUGAGAGUCACGGCCUUGCUGAGAAGGGGAGAGGAAGUUGAAGCAUAUAUUUUGGAGAAUCUGGAGGGUGGAAGAUUUCAUGUAUUAAAGAGCAAGGCCCACUUGGCAAAAUCCAGGUGUUUUACAACUGAACAGGACAUUAAGCAUUGGAUUAUUCUAUCAAGUUCUAAAUUUAAGAAACUUGUGCUUUUGAAAGUAAGCAAUUCAGCUACCCUGAAGCAACCAUUCUAA
rnacentral:lncRNA from 1 species